UUAGCUCAGCUUAACUCCAGUAACCACAUAUAAAACUCUCAGUGGAAAACAUGCAGAGGGAUCUGUAUCUGAAACAUGUGAUGCUAAUGAAGAUUCAAGUUUUAGGCACUGCUCUUCAGAGAAACUUUCUGUUGAAGGAAAACUACAAGAUAUCACUAAACUACAAGAUAUCACUAAACCUAUCAUCAAAAGUAAAGAAGAUUGUUUGCCACCAUCUCCAUUAUCCAUUUCUAGUGGAAGUAAAGUACAGUCCUGGUGUGAAGAACCUUGUGGCCCCAUACACGAGUCUGGACCAACUGUACAUACAUUUCUCAAACGAAGCUACCACAGUGACACAGAAAGCAAUUCUGAUGAAGUAG
rnacentral:lncRNA from 1 species